rnacentral:rRNA from 1 species
GACGAACGCUGGCGGCGUGCUUAACACAUGCAAGUCGAACGGAAAGGCCCUUCGGGGUACUCGAGUGGCGAACGGGUGAGUAACACGUGGGUGAUCUGCCCUGCACUUUGGGAUAAGCCUGGGAAACUGGGUCUAAUACCGAAUAGGACCGCAUGCUUCAUGGUGUGUGGUGGAAAGCUUUUGCGGUGUGGGAUGGGCCCGCGGCCUAUCAGCUUGUUGGUGGGGUAAUAGCCUACCAAGGCGACGACGGGUAGCCGGCCUGAGAGGGUGACCGGCCACACUGGGACUGAGAUACGGCCCAGACUGCUACGGGAGGCAGCAGUUGGGAAUAUUUCACAAGGGGCGCAAGCCUGAUGCAGCGACGCCGCGAGGGGGAGGACGGCCUUCGGGUUGUAAACCUCUUUCAGCAGGGACGAAGCGCAAGUGACGGUACCUGCAGAAGAAGGACCGGCCAACUACGUGCCAGCCGCCGCCGUAA